UACGAAGGGAGCUAGCGUUGUUCGGAAUCACUGGGCGUAAAGCGCACGUAGGCGGAUUUGUUAGUCAGGGGUGAAAUCCCGGGGCUCAACCUCGGAACUGCCUUUGAUACUGCAAAUCUCGAGUCCGGAAGAGGUGGGUGGAAUUCCUAGUGUAGAGGUGAAAUUCGUAGAUAUUAGGAAGAACACCGGUGGCGAAGGCGGCCCACUGGUCCGGUACUGACGCUGAGGUGCGAAAGCGUGGGAGCGAACAG
rnacentral:rRNA from 1 species